CCUACGGGAGGCUGCAGUCGAGAAUCAUUCACAAUGGGGGAAACCCUGAUGGUGCGACGCCGCGUGGGGGAAUGAAGGUCUUCGGAUUGUAAACCCCUGUCAUGUGGGAGCAAAUUAAAAAGAUAGUACCACAAGAGGAAGAGACGGCGAACUCGGUGCCAGCAGCCGCGGUAAUACAGAGGUCUCAAGCGUUGUUCGGAAUCACUGGGCGUAAAGCGUGCGUAGGCGGGUUGGUAAGUCGUGUGUGAAAGGCGCGGGCUCAACCCGCGGACGGCACAUGAUACUGCGAGACUAGAGUAAUGGAGGGGGAACCGGAAUGCUCGGUGUAGCAGUGAAAUGCGUAGAUAUC
rnacentral:rRNA from 1 species